GCAAGUAGUUUCUAGAGCAGUGGAGUCUCCUAGAAAAAAAAAACCAUUACAUAUUAUCGUAAAAAUGAUAUGUAUUUUUACUUCAAAUAGAAGAAAAUUAAUAGAGAAAGUAAUAGGGUUGAAAUGGAGAAUCCAUAGCCAACAUAUUUUGCUAUAUAGAUGGAAUGGACCGCAUUCACUGUAAUUUGCUGCCACGUAGUUUUGAAAUUUGAACCAUUCUCCUGUUUUUUCACAUAGUAAAGUUGCUAGUCCCUGAAAUAACAAAAAAGUUAAAAUAAA